UACGGGGGGGGCAAGCGUUGUUCGGAAUUACUGGGCGUAAAGGGCUCGUAGGCGGCCAAUUAAGUCGGAUGUGAAAUCCCCAGGCUUAACCUGGGAACUGCAUCCGAUACUGGAUGGCUUGAAUCCGGGAGAGGGAUGUGGAAUUCCAGGUGUAGCGGUGAAAUGCGUAGAUAUCUGGAGGAACACCGGUGGCGAAGGCGACAUCCUGGACCGGUAUUGACGCUGAGGCGCGAAAGCCAGGGGAGCAAACGGG
rnacentral:rRNA from 1 species